UGCAGUCGAGCGGUAAGGCCUUUCGGGGUACACGAGCGGCGAACGGGUGAGUAACACGUGGGUGAUCUGCCCUGCACUUCGGGAUAAGCCUGGGAAACUGGGUCUAAUACCGGAUAUGACCUCCUGUUGCAUGACUUGGGGUGGAAAGAUUUAUCGGUGCAGGAUGGGCCCGCGGCCUAUCAGCUUGUUGGUGGGGUAAUGGCCUACCAAGGCGACGACGGGUAGCCGACCUGAGAGGGUGACCGGCCACACUGGGACUGAGACACGGCCCAGACUCCUACGGGAGGCAGCAGUGGGGAAUAUUGCACAAUGGGCGAAAGCCUGAUGCAGCGACGCCGCGUGAGGGAUGACGGCCUUCGGGUUGUAAACCUCUUUCAGCAGGGACGAAGCGCAAGUGACGGUACCUGCAGAAGAAGCACCGGCUAACUACGUGCCAGCAGCCGCGGUAAUACGUAGGGUGCAAGCGUUGUCCGGAAUUACUGGGCGUAAAGAGUUCGUAGGCGGUUUGUCGCGUCGUUUGUGAAAACCAGCAGCUCAACUGCUGGCUUGCAGGCGAUACGGGCAGACUUGAGUACUGCAGGGGAGACUGGAAUUCCUGGUGUAGCGGUGAAAUGCGCAGAUAUCAGGAGGAACACCGGUGGCGAAGGCGGGUCUCUGGGCAGUAACUGACGCUGAGGAACG
rnacentral:rRNA from 1 species